rnacentral:misc_RNA from 1 species
GGAAGGAUCAUUAAAGGUUUAGGGUACGUUGUGCCCAAACUUAAACCCUAUGUCUUCAUUAAGCUGUUUCUUUGCCGGCUACGGGCGGCAGAAGAUUUCUUAAACUCAUGUUAAUAUGGCUUCUGAAAUUUGAAAUGAAUGUCAAAACUUUCAACAACGGAUCUCUUGGUUCUGGCAUCGAUGAAGAACGCAGCGAAAUGCGAUAAGUAAUGUGAAUUGCAGAAUUCAGUGAAUCAUCGAAUCUUUGAACGCAUAUUGCGCCCUUUGGUAUUCCGAAGGGCAUGCCUGUUCGAGCGUCAUUACACCCCUCAAGCCUAGGCUUGAUGUUGGGCAUUGCUGUCGAGCAUGUCUAAAAGACAGUGACGGUUCCCUUUAACCGCUGGUGCAUAGGUGUCGCCAUGCAGGGAGAUGGUAGCCAGUCUGUUAAAAUAAAUUUUCUGAAGAUUGACCUCGGAUCAGGUAGGGAUACCCGCUGAACUUAAGCAUAUCAAUAAGCGGAGGAAAAGAAACCAACAGGGAUUGCCUCAGUAACGGCGAGUGAAGCGGCAAGAGCUCAAAUUUGAAAUCUGACCUUCCGGUCCGAGUUGUAAUUUGUAGAGGAUGUUUCGGGUAAGAUCUAGGUCUAAGUUCCUUGGAACAGGACGUCAUAGAGGGUGAGAAUCCCGUAUGGGGCCUGUGAUCGCACCCAUGUGAAACUCCUUCGACGAGUCGAGUUGUUUGGGAAUGCAGCUCAAAAUGGGUGGUAAAUUUCAUCUAAAGCUAAAUACCGGCCAGAGACCGAUAGCGCACAAGUAGAGUGAUCGAAAGAUGAAAAGCACUUUGAAAAGAGAGUUAAACAGCAUGUGAAAUUGUUGAAAGGGAAGCGCUUGGGACCAGACUUGCUUGUAGGGUUCAGCCGUCGUUUUCGUCGGUGUACUUCCCUACGUGCAGGCCAGCAUCAGUUUGGGCGGAAGGUUAAAGGCCAGGGAAAUGUACCAUCCUCCGGGAUGACUUAUAGCCCCUGGUGUAAUGCUUCCUGCCUGGACUGAGGAACGCGCGUAAGCUCGGAUGCUGGCGUAAUGGUUCCAAGCGACCCGUCUUGAAACACGGACCAAGGAGUCUAACAUCUAUGCGAGUAUUUGGGUGUCAAACCCACAUGCGCAAUGAAAGUGAACGGAGGUGGGAAUCUUCGGAUGCACCAUCGACCGAUCCUGAUGUCUUCGGAUGGAUUUGAGUAAGAGCAUAGCUGUUGGGACCCGAAAGAUGGUGAACUAUGCCUGAAUAGGGUGAAGCCAGAGGAAACUCUGGUGGAGGCUCGCAGCGGUUCUGACGUGCAAAUCGAUCGUCAAAUUUGGGUAUAGGGGCGAAAGACUAAUCGAACUAUCUGGUAGCUGGUUCCUGC